GACGAACGCUGGCGGCGUGCUUAACACAUGCAAGUCGAACGGAAAGGCCCUGCUUUUGUGGGGUGCUCGAGUGGCGAACGGGUGAGUAACACGUGAGUAACCUGCCCUUGACUUUGGGAUAACUUCAGGAAACUGGGGCUAAUACCGGAUAGGAGCUCCUGCUGCAUGGUGGGGGUUGGAAAGUUUCGGCGGUUGGGGAUGGACUCGCGGCUUAUCAGCUUGUUGGUGGGGUAGUGGCUUACCAAGGCUUUGACGGGUAGCCGGCCUGAGAGGGUGACCGGCGACAUUGGGACUGAGAUACGGCCCAGACUCCUACGGGAGGCAGCAGUGGGGAAUAUUGCACAAUGGGCGGAAGCCUGAUGCAGAAACGCCGCGUGCGGGAUGACGGCCUUCGGGUUGAAAACCGCUUUCGCCUGUGACGACGCGUGAGUGACGGUAAUGGGUAAAGAAGCACCGGCUAACUACGUG
rnacentral:rRNA from 1 species